rnacentral:misc_RNA from 1 species
AAGUCGUAACAAGGUUUCCGUAGGAGAACCUGCGGAAGGAUCAUUAACACGUAUCCAAACGUAAAAAACCCCUCCCCUCGUGAUCAUUCAAUCCUGCUUUUGUAACCCGCGUAGUUCGGAAUCUCUGGUAAAUCAUAGCCCGGAAAGUAGUUUGUUUCCCCAAGCAGUUAGUGUCUGAAAGUGUCACUGAUUGUGCAAGGAUAGACCGUACACUCGGGCAGGAGCUAUGCCAAAGGGUCCCCAUGCCCCCUUAUAACCCCACAGUUUAAUGUGAAGCUCAAUGUAAAAUCUAUCUAAUAAAAAUAUUUGGGUAAAAAAACCGAACAACUGUUAACAAUGGAUAUCUUGGUUCUC